AAGCGGUAUGUACUUCAGGAGGCAGCUGAUCAGUUGGGCAUUCCCUUCCUGUUGACAGUGCUUCCAGCCCUGCCUGUAGCUAUUUCACAUGAUCAUUCGGUGCAGGCAUGAUAAUAGAGCUCACAAAGGGGGUGGCUGGAGUGACAAGGCGCCUCUUGCUCAAGAGCACGGGAUGUCUGCAGACGGAGGCUGCAUCCGCGUGUGGCUCUGCCCGCCUGCUGCAGGGAGCCCUUGGCAAACUAGCUUUGUGUUUCUCAAGACCAACAAGGUUUUCAAUGUGGCUUGGUGACUACCUGAAACUGUGUAUGGCUGCAAAGGGCUUCAAUUACCGAAGCUGGUUCUGCUGAAACUUCCAGAUGGAAAUGCGUGUUAAAGAGCAGCGUGCUGCUUGCUCUGCAAGUUACAGCCUCUGCCUGAAGCUGAGGUCUGUUCUCAAGGAAAGAUGGGAAAUGGGAAGCACUGGGAAGCUGAGAAGCUGUUUUAAUUAAACCCCCUUUCCUCUUUCCUAAAGUACCUCCAAAUUCUAGUAGCUUAUGGUAACUCUGUCCCAAGGAGUUACUGACCUACAGCCACUGGUUGUGGUGCUUGAUUUCUCUUGGAAGUGUGGCUUUAAUCUUUGAGGUUCCCUAAUGCUGAUGGCUUUCCAGAAAGGUUAGAUGAGCACCUCCGCCAGCAAUUCCAAAACGGAUGUCCUAAGGUCAAGGUUGAAGAUGAUCUGAUCCUCUUCCUAAAGCAAGCUCUGCCCUCAGAGCAUCUCCAGAGGCCUCCCUUGGCUGUGGGCAGUGCCAUUCCCACUGCAGCAGACACCCUGUGACCCAGUUCUGCAGCUCUAGUAAGUGGGGUAUCAGUGGCAAAUCUCGAAAAGAAUGUAAAUAAGUGCUUUCACCACCAAUGAGCCCUGAUUAGCCCUCCCUGCUCAUAGCUAAAGCACUCCUUCAGCUUUGUUUUCCAAAAGGGUCAUUAAGGAAUUGCCAGUUAAGCUAUUGAGCAGGCAUGCAGCUAUGGCUCAAUCUGUUUUCCCAAGGUAAAACACUUUUGGAAAGGAGAAAAGCUCCCUAAACAACAAGAUCCUACCCCCGGUCUGCAGCCCAGCCUAACAUGAUCUGAUCUUCAUGGGGCAGAGCUUCUUUCCAGAGGAAAAGAAAAGCCUUACCCAAGUUAAAGGACUAGUUGUGUGCGUGAUGGUCAUCGUCAGGGUGACAGGAAUCAAGCCCCAGCAGGAAGGGACUUGUCCUGCUGCCAGGCUAACGCGUGGCACUGGCUGUGACAGUCGGACCUGCUGCUCUUGCUGGUUCACCCAGUUCAGGCAAUGACCAGCAGUUGAGCUAUUUUGCCAUGCUAGAAAUGUGUGCUGAAGAGUUUCAUCUUUCUGAAGAUGAAAAAGAUGGUGGGAGCUGAGAGGACAGCUUUGACUGCCAGGUCAUCAUCAUGCUGCACAAGUGUGUGUCAGCACCAACAUGCUCCAUGUGGAAGGUGCCAACAGGGCUGUGGGCAGGAUACAGCCCUGUCCUGCUGAGGCUGGCAGAUUUAUUCCUCCAUGCAGGCAGCAGCAAUUCCCACUCCCCGGCUGCUUUUGCUAAUGGAGCCAGCCCUGGGCAAGGGUUGCAGCAUGUGGGAUGCUCUCAGCCGUCUUUCCUGGGGACUCAGGCUGUCAUCAUCCCCCGCAGGGGCUGCCAUCAGCCUGGGGGGACAGGCAGCAUCUUGUCACCGGUACCUGCCGCAGUGCUUUCCUUAAUGACAAGCUCUGCUUGUCUGUCCCCUCAAUUAACUCUGCUGUGCUGGCUCAUUAGGCUGCACAUGCUGAGAAACGCCGCAGCAAAGGGAUGCUGCAGUCUCACAGGCGUGCAACGCCGGUUCAGAAAUGCACAUAGACAUACACACAUGUCUCCCCAUAGAGAUACACAUGCUCCUGAGCACACACACACGUGCCCAGACAUGCACACACUGCGGACUACACAUAUUCCAGCAACAUCCCCUCCUCCCAACUUUCAACUUUCUCCAGUAGUGACCUAGUAUUUCUGAUGGAGCAAUGGUAUGAAACCAUCCGCUUGUCAUUUUACAUCCAAAGCAAACUGUAACCAAAGCAACUGGUGAUGCUGUUUCUGCUCUCCUGCCUUGUGGUUCCCCCACAUGUGUGGGGUCUCUCUGUUGGGAUUCCCACUUGCAACUACCCUGGCUUGAAACUGUGCCUUCCUCCAAAGGAUUCUGAAGCAACCCACCAGAAGUACCAAGCACUGUGCUUUCCUGUGAUCUCGAAAGGAAAACGAGGUCUGCUCAGCAUUUUUGCAGGGAAAAAAGAAACUAAACCCAUGCUGUGGGCUCAUGCACCACAGAUACUAGCAUUGCAACACACCUAAUUCCUCCUACGUGGAGAGCAAACCAUGUUCUAACAUGACUGUGCUGCAAGGAUUAUCAGACACAGUUGCAUCCAUAAUUAAGACAGGUUCCUAGUACUUCAGAGGUUGGUUCUAACCUUAAACUAGUUUUUCCACCAGGUGAGGAGUUACUUCUGACUUCUGCUAGCAACCAGAGUCCUCUCCUUUCUUUGCUGUGGCGCUAACCCUGACACCAAGGCCAGGAAGAUGCUCUGCCGUUGAGUUUCUCCCACCUAUCUAGAAGUGUUUUACUCUGACCAAAGGGUUUGUUUGCAGUGGUGUGGAAAUAGCUGUGCUUUGCCCUGCGACAGGGCUGCAGACUGAUCCAGCCGCCUUGGCUUCCAAAAACCAACAAACUUGCCCUAAAGCAGAGCAAGAGGAAUAAGCACUGAGUGAGCAAAGCCUGUGGACUUUGGGACUAUGUUCAAGCCCUGCUUUUGUGUGGAGCAGUUCUCCCAGGCUGAUAAAGUUCAAGCUGUGUUUCUGCAGUGCUGUUAAAGCCGGGAGCACCCUGGGCAGGGUGGUUACCACAAGAGCCUCUCACUUGAGAUGCUGGAGGUCCCAGCUUUUGGGACCACUUUGCUGUAGACAUGGAGCGCUCUGUG
rnacentral:lncRNA from 1 species